rnacentral:rRNA from 1 species
AUGGCUGACGGCGAACACCUGGUUCCACUCGGGGCUGCCGGUGCCGGAGACGUCGCGGCCCGGCCGGGAGCGGAGGCAGUGCGGGCCGGCUUGGAUCUUGACGUAGGGGCCCUCGCAGGCGCGGAUGCCGCGCACCCGCACGAUGCGCACGAAGAGGUAUCGCAUCGGCUCCACCAGGUCGUACGUCGACUGCACCGGCUCGACGGCCUCGCCGGCGGACGCGAACCGCCCGGAGAUGACGCGGGGAGAGGCGGCCGUGUAGUAAUCAGGCCCGAAGCCGCCGCUCGGGUGUCGGGGGACGCGGACAUGCCCGUUGGUCGACGCCAUCCGUUCCUUGCGGAGCUCAGGCGGGUGCAUUUCUGCCCCGUCGGGCCCCGGCCCUGGUUCACGCUGCGGCUGCGGCUCCGGCUCAGGCUCUGGCUGCGGUGGCAUCAUCCGGGCGUGCAUCAUGGGACCGUGCGGACCAUGCAUCAUCGGGCCGUGUGGCCCAUGCAUCGGCGGCGGCAUCAUGUGGCCGUGCAUCAUGGGCGGCGGCAUUAUGGGACCGUGUGGCCCGUGCAUGGGAGCUUCCUCCACGAUGAUGACCGGAGGCUGCGCCUGCGGCUGCUGCACCUCCACGGCGGCCUCCGUCGGCUCUGGGAGCUCAGGUGGGAGCUCCCUGGGCUGUUCCGGCGGGACCUCGGGCGGCGGCGCGUUGUCAGCCCCCUCGGGCGGCCGGUCCUCCGGCGGCGGCGGGGGCGGCACGGCCGGCUCGUCGUAGUAGUAGAUCUUGAGGCCGACCUCGCCGCGGAUCCAGCUGAGCAGGCUGCGCUUCUCGAGCGGGAAGUAGACAAUGCCCUCCUCGCCGCGGCGCGAGAACUGGGAGCCGUAGAUGCGGACGCGGCCGAGGAAGUGGUUCUUGCCGCCCCCGGCGCCCCCGCCGGAGGGGUUGAAGCGGCGGUCGUGGUAGAGCGAGACGUCGAGCGACUCGGCGUGCAUGGCGGCCGGGUCGGGCACGGCGAACUCGAGGCGCUCGUGCCACUGCGGGUUGAGGUCCCGCGGCACGGUCCGCGUGCGCUUGCGCUGUCCGUCGAAGUCGGCCACCGCGUAGGCGCUGGAGGUGCCGAGCCCGUCCUUGGGCACCAGGUCCCGCGCGUCCACCACCUCCACCGCCAGCCUGCGGACCAUCUGCCCGUGCGCGUGCGGCGGCCCCCCGUCCGCCAUGGCAGCGAGCUCGGCGAUGGAGGCGCUCUCUCGCGCGGCGCCGACGAUGGGAAAGCGAGCGAGCGAUCAGAUGGAAUAGGGUUCCUUAUGGCGUGGAGGGGUGUGGUGGUUUCCGAGUGCUUUUGCUUUUGGAGUGAGCAGUGA